rnacentral:rRNA from 1 species
UAUAGGAGCCAUAUCACACUGCAACCCACUGAAGCUAAGCAGGUGUGAGUCUGGUCAGUACCUGGAUGGGAGACCUCCUGAGAAAAACUAAGGUUGCUGCCGGAA